rnacentral:rRNA from 1 species
CCUACGGGUGGCUGCAGUGAGGAAUAUUGGUCAAUGGGCGUAAGCCUGAACCAGCCAAGUCGCGUGAGGGAUGAAGGUUCUAUGGAUUGUAAACCUCUUUUAUAAGGGAAUAAAAUGUUGCACGUGUGGCGUUUUGUAUGUACCUUAUGAAUAAGGAUCGGCUAACUCCGUGCCAGCAGCCGCGGUAAUACGGAGGAUCCGAGCGUUAUCCGGAUUUAUUGGGUUUAAAGGGUGCGUAGGUGGCUUUUUAAGUCAGUUGUGAAAGUUUGUGGCUCAACCGUAGAAUUGCAGUUGAAACUGGGAGUCUUGAGUAUGUUAGAGGUGGGCGGAAUGCGUGGUGUAGCGGUGAAAUGCUUAGAUAUCACGCAGAACCCCGAUUGCGAAGGCAGCUCAC